rnacentral:rRNA from 1 species
CCAGACUCCUACGGGAGGCAGCAGUGAGGAAUAUUGGUCAAUGGGCGGAAGCCUGAACCAGCCAAGUCGCGUGAAGGAAGAAGGCUUUCGGGUUGUAAACUUCUUUUCUUGGGGACGAAGAAAGUGACGGUACCCAAGGAAUAAGCCACGGCUAACUACGUGCCAGCAGCCGCGGUAAUACGUAGGUGGCAAGCGUUAUCCGGAUUUAUUGGGUGUAAAGGGCGUGUAGGCGGGAAUGCAAGUCAGAUGUGAAAACUAUGGGCUCAACCCAUAGCCUGCAUUUGAAACUGUAUUUCUUGAGUGCUGGAGAGGCAAUCGGAAUUCCGUGUGUAGCGGUGAAAUGCGUAGAUAUACGGAGGAACACCAGUGGCGAAGGCGGAUUGCUGGACAGUAACUGACGCUGAGGCGCGAAAGCGUGGGGAGCAAACAGGAUUAGAUACCCUAGUA